AUUGAACGCUGGCGGCAGGCCUAACACAUGCAAGUCGAGCGAGCGACGGACGGGUGAGUACUGUCUAGGAAACUGCCUGAUGGAGGGGGCUAACUACUGGAAACGGUAGCUAAUACUGCAUACCAACAGACGUGCCCAGAUGGGAUUAGCUAGUAGGUGGGGUACCGGCCCACAAAGGCGACGAUCCCUAGCUGGUCUGAGAGGAUGACCAGCCACACUGGAACUGAGACACGGUCCAGACCCCUACGUGAGGCAGCAGUGGGGAAUAUUGCACAAUGGGCGCAAGCCUGAUCCAGCCAUGCCGCGUGUGUGAAGAAGGCCUUCGGGUUGUAAAGCACUUUCAGCGGGGAGGCGUUACCCACAGAAGAAGCACCGGCUAACUCCGUGCCAGCAGCCGCGGUAAUAC
rnacentral:rRNA from 1 species